rnacentral:rRNA from 1 species
GAUGAACGCUGGCGGCGUGCCUAAUACAUGCCAGUCGAGCGAACAGAUGAGGAGCUUGCUCCUCUGACGUUAGCGGCGGACGGGUGAGUAACACGUGGAUAACCUACCCAUAAGACUGGGCUAACUUCGGGAAACCGGAGCUAAUACCGGAUAAUAUAUUGAACCGCAUGGUUCAAUAGUGAAAGACGGUUUUGCUGUCACUUAUAGAUGGAUCCGCGCCGCAUUAGCUAGUUGGUAAGGUAACGGCUUACCAAGGCAACGAUGCGUAGCCGACCUGAGAGGGUGAUCGGCCACACUGGAACUGAGACACGGUCCAGACUCCUACGGGAGGCAGCAGUAGGGAAUCUUCCGCAAUGGGCGAAAGCCUGACGGAGCAACGCCGCGUGAGUGAUGAAGGUCUUCGGAUCGUAAAACUCUGUUAUUAGGGAAGAACAAAUGUGUAAGUAACUAUGCACGUCUUGACGGUACCUAAUCAGAAAGCCACGGCUAACUACGUG